rnacentral:rRNA from 1 species
AUUGAACGCUAGCGGGAUGCCUUACACAUGCAAGUCGAACGGAGUGGCGAACGGGUGAGUAAUGUAUCGGAACGUGCCCAGUAGCGGGGGAUAACUACGCGAAAGCGUAGCUAAUACCGCAUACUAUUGGAGCGGCCGAUAUCGGAUUAGCUAGUUGGUGUGGUAACGGCUCACCAAGGCGACGAGCCGUAGCUGGUUUGAGAGGACGACCAGCCAGCCGGGGACUGAGACACAGCCCAAACUCCUGCGGUGGGCAGCAGUGGAGAAUCUUGGGCGAGGGGGGAAGCCCUAAUCCAGCCAACCCGCGUGUGCGAUGAAGGCCUUCGGGUUGUAAAGCACUUUUGGCAGGAAAGCGGUACCUGCAGAAUAAGCACCGGCUAACUACGUGCCAGCAGCCGCGGUAAUUC